CUCUCCCAGUUAGCCUUCUACUUUGUUCUUCGUGAGUUUGUGUGCUUUUGGGCUUUGGCUUUAGUAAAUAUUUAGCUGCUGGACUGGACUAUUGGGUCGUAGAGUGGACUAUUUCUGGUGACUUUGGAAAGCUUACUGUUUCAUGCAUGUUGACAGCAUGAGGAGUGCUGCUAUCUCCA